ACGUUGUAGCUAAGGUACAUUGUUCACAUGAACUUCAAACCUUAAUUGUUUCAAUAAUAGAAGGAUGGAGUAAAGCUAGCGGCUCUCUUCCUCUUUAUCUAAACUUGUCCCCUUCCUCCAGCUUCAGCACCACCACACCAUUCGGAGCUUGUCACCCGUCCACUAGGACGGAACUACAUUAAUGGCGGGGUUUUCCUUUAAAAAUGAAAAAGGUGAACCCAUCUCACAUUUUGUUUCGAUGAACUUUGGAGUAUGCGCAAAAGGAGACGACAGUUGUUCAAAGAUGAAAAAAUAGGAGAAAACACAUCACUCGAUCUCACAGAUAAACUGUUGCGGAACUUUCAUGGCGGUUGAAAUAUGCUAAUCAAGGUUUGGGGCCUUGGGCCCUCUCUCUGUUCUAUUGUGUGCUAAUUGGGGUCAUUCAACAGCUACAUUUAUUUGGGCUCUGCAUUCAUGUUGAAUGUACCUUCCACUAUUAUCAGAAACCAUAAAAGGCUUUUAACUUCCUAGUUAACGUGUUAGCCCAAAUUAUAAUUAGGCUAAACCCGUCUGGUGAGUUUUAUAUAAUCAUUUUACGCA